rnacentral:lncRNA from 1 species
GGAUCCUCUGAAAACACACAGACACCCCCCCAGCUCCUGGGGGCUCACCAUCCCACAGACACGGACCCCCCCAGCUGCUGGGGGCUCACCAUCCCACCAACACGGACCCCCCUCCAGCUGCUGGGGGCUCACCAUCCCACCAACACGGACCCCCCUCCAGCUGCUGGGGGCUCACCAUCCCACCAACACGGACCCCCCUCCAGCUGCUGGGGGCUCACCAUCCCACCAACACGGACCCCCCUCCAGCUGCUGGGGGCUCACCAUCCCACCAACACGGACCCCCCUCCAGCUGCUGGGGGCUCACCAUCCCACCAACACGGACCCCCCUCCAGCUGCUGGGGGCUCACCAUCCCACCAACACGGACCCCCCUCCAGCUGCUGGGGGCUCACCAUCCCACCAACACGGACCCCCCUCCAGCUGCUGGGGGCUCACCAUCCCACCGACAGACACUCCCCAGCUGCUGGGGGCUCACCAUCCCACCGACAUGGGUCCCCCCCCAGCUGCUGGGGGCUCACCAUCCCACCGACACGGGUCCCCCCCCAGCUGCUGGGGGGCUCACCAUCCCACAGACAUGGGUCCCCCCACCAGCUGCUGGGGGGCUCACCAUCCCACAGACAUGGGUCCCCCCACCAGUGCCGGGUCCACAGUCAAACCUACACACGCCCCCCCCCUCCGAGCCAAAAUGUGAUGCCAAACCUGGGCUGAGCAACCUGCAGAGAGCUCAGAUGCCCCCCCAGGGCACAUCCACCCCCUGGAUGCAAACACCCACAGCACCCACCUGGCCGAGGGCACCCAAGGGGGACAGUGUCCCCACAGAGCACGGGUCCCCCCCCUGCCAUCCAUCAGAAGAACGUGUGUCCCCUGAUACAUCGGUGUAUAAAAGAGAUAGAUCUUACACGUGGGAAGGAGGGGAAAACUCAGUUUGCCAAUAAAAGCACGGGGGGGGGGCAAAAAAAAAAUUUCAGAGAUUUCAUCCCCCCCGCCGUCCACUUCCCACCAUCGUUUUUUCUUCUUUUCUUUAAAACAAACAAACAAACAAAAAAGAGAAACCAGGCUGCGGGUGCAGCAUUACCGACAGCUCUCACAACACCAGCUCAAGGCAUCGCGUACUGUACAUCAUUCAAGUAGUUCUUAAUAUAAGACAACAAGGAAUUAUCUACAACUGAUAAAACAAAAUAAGCUAUAAAAAGUAACAAUGUACAAUCAAGAUGGAUUAUUAUUUUUUCUUUUUUUCCUCUUUUCCUUUAAAGGAGGCCUCUCCGGGGUGGCCCGGUGCCUGUGUGGGGAGGGUUCUCCCCUCCCCACCCCGUGCAAUGGGGCUGGGGGCACCGGGGGGAGAGGGCAGAUCGCGGGUGCGAGGGGGUUUUUUGGGGGGGAAAUCACCCUCCCUGACCCAUCGACACUGCUCAGAAGGGCCGGGAGGGGUGAGAAAAGACAGUCCCUGCCCCAAACUCCAUCAACACCCGAGAUAACUCACACACACCUCCCUGAAACAAAAAAACCCCAACAUAUAUUGCAUAGUAUUGCUGUCAGCAGUCUUAAAAUAAAAAAAGGAGAACUCCCCCA